GAGUUUGAUCGUGGCUCAGAGUGAACGCUGGCGGCAGGCCUAACACAUGCAAGUCGAACGGCAGCACAGCAGUAGCAAUACUGUGGGUGGCGAGUGGCGGACGGGUGAGGAAUACAUGGGAAUCUGCCCUGUCGUGGGGGAUAACGUAGGGAAACUUACGCUAAUACCGCAUACGACCGAGAGGUGAAAGCGGCGGACCGCAAGGCGUCGCGCGAUUGGAUGAGCCCAUGUCGGAUUAGCUAGUUGGCGGGGUAAAGGCCCACCAAGGCGACGAUCCGUAGCUGGUCUGAGAGGAUGAUCAGCCACACUGGAACUGAGACACGGUCCAGACUCCUACGGGAGGCAGCAGUGGGGAAUAUUGGACAAUGGGCGCAAGCCUGAUCCAGCCAUGCCGCGUGAGUGAAGAAGGCCUUCGGUUGUAAG
rnacentral:rRNA from 1 species